UACGGGAGGCAGCAGUGGGGAAUAUUGCACAAUGGGCGCAAGCCUGAUGCAGCCAUGCCGCGUGUAUGAAGAAGGCCUUCGGGUUGUAAAGUACUUUCAGUCGUGAGGAAGGUGUUAAGGUUAAUAACCUUAGCAAUUGACGUUAGCGACAGAAGAAGCACCGGCUAACUCCGUGCCAGCAGCCGCGGUAAUACGGAGGGUGCGAGCGUUAAUCGGAAUUACUGGGCGUAAAGGGCACGCAGGCGGUUAAUUAAGUUGGAUGUGAAAUCCCCGGGCUUAACCUGGGAAUGGCAUUCAAGACUGGUUAGCUAGAGUCUUGUAGAGGGGGUAGAAUUCCAUGUGUAGCGGUGAAAUGCGUAGAGAUGUGGAGGAAUACCGGUGGCGAAGGCGGCCCCUGGACAAAGACUGACGCUCAUGUGCGAAAGCGUGGGGAGCAAACGAGGGAUUAGAUACC
rnacentral:rRNA from 1 species